CAAGUUUGAUCAUGGCUCAGGACGAACGCUGGCGGCGUGCCUAACACAUGCAAGUCGAACGGAACUUUUUUAAAAGAUUUCUUCGGAAUGAAUUUGAUUAAGUUUAGUGGCGGACGGGUGAGUAACGCGUGAGUAACCUGCCUCUAAGAGGGGAAUAACAUUCUGAAAAGAAUGCUAAUACCGCAUAAUAUAUAUUUAUCGCAUGGUAGAUAUAUCAAAGAUUUAUCGCUUAGAGAUGGACUCGCGUCCGAUUAGUUAG
rnacentral:rRNA from 1 species